GAUGAACGCUAGCGGGAGGCCUAACACAUGCAAGCCGAGCGGUAUUUCUUCUUCGGGAGAGAGAGAGCGGCGUACGGGUGCGAAACACGUGUGCAACCUGCCUUUAUCUAGAGGAUAACCUUUCGAAAGGAAGAUUAAUACUCUAUGAUAUAUUAAUUGGCAUCAAUUGAUAUUGAAAACUCCGGUGGAUAGAGAUGGGCACGCGCAAGAUUAGCUAGUUGGUGAGGUAACGGCUCACCAAGGCAAUGAUCUCUAGGGGGCCUGAGAGGGUGAUCCCCCACACUGGUACUGAGACACGGACCAGACUCCUACGGGAGGCAGCAGUGAGGGAUAUUGGUCAAUGGGUGCAAGCCUGAACCAGCCAUCCCGCGUGAAGGAUUAAGGUCCUAUGGAUUGUAAACUUCUUUUGUAUAGGGAUAAACCUACCCUCGUGAGGGUAGCUGAAGGUACUAUACGAAUAAGCACCGGCUAACUCCGUGCCAGCAGCCGCCGUAACAC
rnacentral:rRNA from 1 species